UCCUACGGGAGGCAGCAGUGAGGAAUAUUGGUCAAUGGAGGCAACUCUGAACCAGCCAUGCCGCGUGAAGGAUGACGGCCCUAUGGGUUGUAAACUUCUUUUGAAUAGGAAGAAACUUAUCUACGUGUAGAUAACUGACGGUACUAUUAGAAUAAGGAUCGGCUAACUCCGUGCCAGCAGCCGCGGUAAUACGGAGGAUCCAAGCGUUAUCCGGAUUCAUUGGGUUUAAAGGGUCCGUAGGCGGAUCUUUAAGUCAGUGGUGAAAGCCGACAGCUUAACUGUCGAACUGCCAUUGAUACUGGAGAUCUUGAGUACAAAUGAAGUAGGCGGAAUGAGUCAUGUAGCGGUGAAAUGCAUAGAUAUGACUCAGAACACCGAUUGCGAAGGCAGCUUACUAACAUGUAACUGACGCUGAGGGACGAAAGCGUGGGGAGCGAACAGGAUUAGAUACCCUGGUAGUCCACGCCGUAAACGAUCAUCACUCGCUGUUGGCGAUAUACUGUCAGCGGCCAAGCGAAAGUAUUAAGUGAUGCACCUGGGGAGUACGCCGGCAACGGUGAAACUCAAAGGAAUUGACGG
rnacentral:rRNA from 1 species